CGAAUUUGAAUGAAGAGCCCUGCGCUUUCGGCGCCAUUUUCGAGUGAUGCCUGAUCGCAUCGUUGCCUGCAGCGGGGGAGUUGCAGCUAACAGCGCCCGCGGUGCAGCCGCUUUUCAGUGGAAGAAAACUUAAAGGCUGAGUUUCACUUUCAAGGAAAUAACUGUCCUGACUCAACUCAUUUAGAAAAAGUUUUGACCUUUCAAUAGAGAGCUGAUUCUGGAGAACAACUUACUUCUGUGAUUGAAAAAUUCUCUCUGAAAAGCUGAUGCAGCAUAAAUAUGGUGGUUCUCCAGUUGAUCAACAGACCAUGAGCAAGUAUUCUGUAGAAGCAGGCUGUGGCUGUUUCACCUCUAUUUUCGUGUUUAGAAAUGGAUUCCUUGAGGAUCUGCUCCAUUCAUAA
rnacentral:lncRNA from 1 species